rnacentral:rRNA from 1 species
AGAGGUUUGCAUGGCUCAGAGUGAACGCUGGCGGCAGGCCUAACACAUGCAAGUCGAACGGCAGCACAGAGGAGCUUGCUCCUUGGGUGGCGAGUGGCGGACGGGUGAGGAAUACAUCGGAAUCUGCCUUAUCGUGGGGGAUAACGUAGGGAAACUUACGCUAAUACCGCAUACGACCUACGGGUGAAAGCGGGGUGAUCGCAAGACCUUGCGCUAUUGGAGCGGCCGAUGGCAGAUUAGGUAGUUGGUAGGGUAAAAGCCUACCAAGCCUACGAUCUGUAGCUGGUUUGAGAGGACGACCAGCCACACUGGGACUGAGACACUGGCCCAGACUCCUACGGGAGGCAGCAGUGGGGAAUUUUGGACAAUGGGCUGCAAGCCUGAUCCAGCCAUGCCGCGUGCGGGAAGAAGGCCUUCGGGUUGUAAAGCACUUUACCAGGAACGAAAAGGUGUCGGCGAAUACCCGGACUGCUGACGGUACCUGGGGAAUAAGCACCGGCUAACUUCGUGCCAGCAGCCGCGGUAUACGAAGGGUGCAAGCGUAAUCGGAAUUACUGGGCGUAAAGGGUGUGUAGUGGCUGUUAGUCUGUCGUGAAAGCCCCGGGCUCAACUGGGAAUGGCGGUGGAUACUGGCGGGCUCGAGUACGGUAGAGGGUGGUGGAAUUCCCG